UUUCACCGACCCGAGCCACAGCGGCUUCUCCGCCGGCCGCCGGCCGUAGGUGGCGAGCAGCGCCUGGGCCUC
rnacentral:antisense_RNA from 1 species